rnacentral:rRNA from 1 species
UACGGGGGGGGCAAGCGUUGUUCGGAAUUACUGGGCGUAAAGGGCUCGUAGGCGGCCAACUAAGUCAGACGUGAAAUCCCUCGGCUUAACCGGGGAACUGCGUCUGAUACUGGAUGGCUUGAGGUUGGGAGAGGGAUGCGGAAUUCCAGGUGUAGCGGUGAAAUGCGUAGAUAUCGGGAGGAACACCAGUGGCGAAGGCGGCGAUCUGGGCAGAUACUGACGCUGAGGUGCGAAAGCGUGGGGAGCAAACAGG